rnacentral:rRNA from 1 species
UGUGCAGAGGGGAAUAGCAGGUUAUACGUCUCGGUGAGAGACUACUACUAUUACAUGCUCCAGACACGACCUGGGAUAUUCAAUCCCAUACUCUGUGGAGCACGAUUGCUCCAGCAAUGGGGGGUGGACAUGUACAUCAAGAUUGAGAGUUGUAGGUUGAAAUGGUACAGGAAGAACCAAACAAAGAUCCGUGCCGACCUGUAUAAAGGAGUUGUUGAUGCAAUUACAUCCGGUGAGACCCGGCAAGCGCUGUUGGCGUAA